GAUUAACGCUGGCGGCGUGCAUAACACAUGCAAGUCGAACGAUGAAACUUUAAUGAACCCUUCGGGGAGAAUUAAAGCGGAUUAGUGGCGAACGGGUGAGUAACGCGUGAGUAACCUGCCUUACACAAGGGGAUAGCCUUUGGAAACGAAGAAUAAUACCCUAUAAAACCAUAAAAGCACAUGCAAUUAUGGUCAAAGUGGUAGCGGUGUAAGAUGGACUUGCGUCUGAUUAGCUAGUUGGUGAGAUAAAAGCCCACCAAGGCAACGAUCAGUAGCCGGCUUGGGAGAGUGGACGGCCCCAUUGGGACUGAGACACGGCCCAGACUCCUACGGGAGGCAGCAGGGGGGAAUUUUGCACAAUGGGGGAAACCCUGAUGCAGCGACGCCGCGUGAUUUAGAAGGCCUUCGGGUUGUAAAAAUCUUUUGUAUAGGAAGAAAAUGACAGUACUAUACGAAUAAGGUCCGGCUAAUUACGUG
rnacentral:rRNA from 1 species